rnacentral:lncRNA from 1 species
AAAUCCAGGAGAAGAAGGGAAGAUUCAGAAGGGAAAAAUGAAAAAUCAGUUAGGUCAAGAAAAAAAAAAGAAUCAUCUAAACCAAUACAAGAAGUCCUGAAUCUAUGAAGCUUCUAUGCUGGCAAAAAUCUAUCCAUGGAUCUUGAAAGAAGCAUGGAGUGUUAUAAGUGUGAAGAGGGUUCAUUUGUUGUUUCACCCCUCACACUCAUAAAACUCCAAAAACAGUUUGCUUUGGCUUAAGCUAUGUUAUUAGCUUUUCUAUGAUCACUAAAGGGGGGAAGAAUCUUCUUGAUAGAGGAUCAUAUAGACAAGCUAUGGCGGCGAAAGCUCCGGCGAACCGGCAAGUCACAAGAAGGCAAUGGAUUCCAUUAAGGGUCCCUUUUAUAUGGCUCUAUAUAUAUAUCUAUGUUAUCUUAUAAUCAUCACUAUGAUCUUCAUGUAAUAAAAGGAAAACAUGUUCAUGUUCAUGUUCUCUUCUAUCUAUAGAUGAGUUGGUAGGUAUUAUUGCUUUGAUCAUUCUUGUUUUCCUUUUUAACUAUUCUCCUUCGUUGUGUCUUGUGUUCCUUUUUCUCUUGUGUGUAUGCUUGUUUGUGUUAUGCAAUAAAAAAGUAGAUUAUAAAGAAUACAAUAUUAAUAAGUGUGAGACAUUAUAUACGUUGAUUCAUAAAUCUUAGAAUUAUGAUAAACA